rnacentral:piRNA from 1 species
ACUUGGGAAGGAUAAUUUGAAACAGG